rnacentral:tRNA from 1 species
AAGUAGUGCUGGCGGAUGCCGUUGGCCCUCACAUGGGCGCCUGUGCCGUUGUUCAAGGUGCGAUUCCCGGUAUUGUUUGC